ACCCUUACUACGUUUUGGCUUUGAUUUGACCUAAAAAACCGAAGGGAGGGCAUCCAUGUCAGCUCGAAGAGCUACAAUAGGAGGAGACCCGGUGCCAAUUUGAGCUACAAAACCAGUCAUGGAAAUCGGGUAUGUGUAAGAAACGCCAAGUUUAUCGAGCUCAUUGCGAAUAAGGGCGCUGGUGUUGUGUUCUUGGAAAAGGAGUUCAGGGUACUCGUGGAGCUUCCUUCUUAUUGAAAUCAACCAAUCUUUGUCUUCUUUUGCUGCGCUUAAAAGCUGCGUCCCGUAGUCUUCAUUGGCAUCUACUAUUUGAAUCGACGAAGGCAGUAAAACCCAGAGCAGUAGGAGGAUGCCAAAGGAACGAAAAAUCAAAAUUUGAAGCAUCUUCUACAAUUAGGUCUUCUGAUACUGUCUCAAUUGGGGCGUGUAACACUCGACCCAAAAACUAAACCGAUUGACAAAAGGAGAAGAAGGGAGGGGCUAAGUAAAGGGUAUUUUGGUCCUUUUCAAAAUUUAAUCAAAGGAAACGAAACUAGGUCAUUUUCAUGAUUACAUAUGGAGGAAAAUUACCUGCUUUGUUCGAUUAAGUGAAAAUCAAAAUAAAGAAUUCAUGAUGGGUCUCGUGGGAUGCACUGUGGUUAAAAGGAAGAUUAAUCUUGAUGCUUCAACAAUCAACAUGCAGGUUGGGAGACAUUUCUAGAUACUGGUAAUUUGUCUUGGAUACAAGUAAUGCUUUUGCUUUAAAAAUCUUAUCCUCUUACUUUUAUUUAUGUGUUUACUAGUAUGAUGCUUAAUAUUAUCUUUAUGUUUUAUGUUAUAACUAAUGCAUUUUAGCAAUUCAGAAAAAAUAAAAGUUUAAUGUUAUUUCA